AUACGGAUGGUGCAAGCGUUACUCGGAAUCACUGGGCGUAAAGCGCGCGCAGGCGGUCUUUUAAGUUGGAUGUGAAAGCCUACGGCUCAACCGUAGAACUGCAUCCAAAACUAUUAGACUAGAGUGUGGGAGAGGAAGAUGGAAUUAGUUGUGUAGGGGUAAAAUCCGUAGAGAUAACUAGGAAUACCAAAAGCGAAGGCAAUCUUCUGGAACACUACUGACGCUGAGGCGCGAAAGCGUGGGGAGCAAACAGGAUUAGAUACCCGAGUAGUCC
rnacentral:rRNA from 1 species